rnacentral:lncRNA from 1 species
UUAUUAUAAAAUCAUGACAGAAUCAAUGUGAAUACAGCUGAAGAAUUGACACAUUCCCUUUUUAUCAAAGUGGUUCCAAGUAUUCAUUUCUGUGAUGAGGCACAUAACUGCCGUUUAUUAUUAUAUAAUUGAAUUACUGUGCAUCUAGAAGCAUUUGUUCCUUUUCAAAACACAAUUCCUGACAGUGAACAGAUCCCUUUGAGUACAUAGACUGCUAUUUAAGGCAAUUACUUUGGGGCAAAUCCUAACUUCCACGUAGUUAUGCAUUGAUGUCAAUGGGAGACAAACACAUUUUUUUACUUAAGAGCAAGUUAGGAUUCACCCCAUAGUGGAUGAACCACACAAUUGCCUUGUGUACCAUCGAACACUGAAUACAUACAAUCAACAAGUGCAAGAAGCUGAAAUCAAUGUGAUGGUGAAUGAAAAAUCUUGAUCGUAUUUCUCCCAUCUACAAAUAUCUAAUCACACAAUGGCCUUUAUACUUAAAAUUCAUCUGUCAGUGUACAGCAGCAUGUCUUAUCACAGCAUGAUCAAACACCCAAAGCAGACGCCAUACAAAACUCCUAGGCUAGGACAACAAAACACUAGCCCUGGUCGCAGAUCAGUUGGUGCUGUACAGACAGCCAACUCCUAUGGUUGACAAAAUGGCAUAAACAUAUCUGGGAUCAAGCUAACGAAACGCUUCAAAUCAAAUGUUAUUGGUCACAUACACAUGGUUAGCAGAUGUUAAUGCGAGUGUAGCGAAAUGCUUGUGCUUCUAGUUCCGACCGUGCAGUAAUAUCUAACAAGUAAUCUAACAAUUUCACAACUCCCUUAUACAGACAAGUGUAAAGGAAUUAAUAAGAAUAUGUACAUAUGGAUGAUGAUGGCCUUGCGGCAUAGGCGAGAUGCAGUAGGUGGUAUCGAGUACAGUAUAUACAUGAGAUGAGUAAUGUAGGGUAUGUAAACAUUAUAUAAAGUGGCAUUGUAAUAAAGUGACUAGUGAUACAUUUAUUACAUCCAAUUUGUUAUUAUUAAAGUGGCUAGAGAUUUGAGUCAGUAUGUUGGCAGCAGCCAGUCAAUGUUAGUGACGGCUGUUUAACAGUCUGAUGGCCUUGAGCUAGAAGCUGUUUUUCAGUCUCUCGGUCCCAGCUUUGAUGCACCUGUACUGACCUCGCCUUCUGGAUGAUAGCGGGGUGAACAGGCAGUGGCUUGGGUGGUUGUUGUCCUUGAUGAUCUUUUUGGCAUUCCUGUGACAUGGUGUAGGUGUCCUGGAGGGCAGGUAGUUUGCCCACGGUGAUGCGUUGUGCAGACUUCACUACCCUCUGGAGUAGAGGUCGACCGAUUAUGAUUUUUCAACGCCGAUACCGAUUAUUGGAGGACCAAAAAAAGCCGCUACCGAUUAAUCGGCUGAUUUUUUAAAAUGUAUUUGUAAUAAUGACAAUUACAACAAUACUGAAUGAACACUUAUUUUAACUGAAUAUAAUACAUCAAUAAAAUCAAUUUAGCCUCAAAUAAAUAAUGAAACAUGUUCAAUUUGGUUUAAAUAAUGCAAAAACAAAGUGUUGGAGAAGGAAGUAAAAGUGCAUUAUGUGCCAUGUAAGAAAGCUAACGUUUAAGUUCCUUGCUCAGAACAUGAGAACAUAUGAAAGCUGGUGGUUCCUUUUAACAUGAGUCUUCAAUAUUCCCAGGUAAGAAGUUUUAGGUUGUAGUUAUUUUCGGAAUUAUAGGACUAUUUCUCUCUAUACGAUUUGUAUUUCAUAUACCUUUGACUAUUGGAUGUUCUUAUAGGCACUUUAGUAUUGCCAGUGUAAUAGUAUAGCUUCCGUCACUCUCCUCGCUCCUACCUGGGUUCAAAUCAGGAACACAUCGACAACAGCCACCCUCGAAGCAGCGUUAUCCAUGCAGAGCAAGGGGAACAAUUACUCCAAGUCUCAGAGCGAGUGACGUUUGAAACGCUAUUAGCACGCACCCGGCUAACUAGCUAGCCACUUCAUAUCAGUUACACCAGUCUAAUCUUGGGAGUUGAUAGGCUUGAAGUCAUAAACAGUGCAAUGCAUUGCGAAGAGCUGCUGGCAAAACGCACUAAAGUGCUGUUUGAUUGAAUGCUUACGAGCCUGCUGGUGCCUACCAUCGCUCAGUCAGACUGCUCUAUCAAAUCAUAGACUUAAUUAUAACAUAAUAACACACAGAAACACGAGCCUUAGGUCAUUAAUAUGGUAGAAUCCAGAAACUAUCACAUUUAUUAUUUCAGUGAAAUACGGAACCGUUCCGUAUUUUAUCUAACGGGUGGCAUCCAUAAGUCUAAAUAUUCCUGUUACAUUGCAAAACCUUCAAUGUUAUGUCAUAAUUACGUAAAAUUCUGGCAAAUUAGUUCGCAACGAGCCAGGCGGCCCAAACUGCUGCAUAUACCCUGACUCUGUUGCAGAGGUGACACAUUUUCCCUAGUUAAAGAAAUUAAUGUUAGCAGGCAAUAUUAACUAAAUAUACAGGUUUAAAAAUAUAUACUUGUGUAUUGAUUUUAAGAAAGACAUUGAUGUUUAUGGUUAGGUACAAGUUGGAGCAACGACAGUCCUUUUACGCGAAUGCGCACCGCAUCGAUUAUAUGCAAUGCAGGACAGGCUAGAUAAACUAGUAAUAUCCUCAACCAUGUGUAGUUAACUAGUGAUUAUGAUUGAUUGAUUGUUUUUUAUAAGAUAAGUUUAAUGCUAGCUAGCAACUUACCUUGGCUUCUUACUGCAUUCGCGUGACAGGCAGGCUCCUCAUGGAGUGCAAUAUAAAGCAGAUGGUUAGAGCGUUGGACUAGUUAACCGUAAGGUUGCAAGAUUGAAUCCCCAAGCUGACAAGGUAAAAAUCUGUCGUUCUGCCCCUGAACAAGGCAGUUAACCCACCGUUCCUAGGCCGUCAUUGAAAAUAAGAAUGUGUUCUUAACUGACUUGCCUAGUUAAAAAAUAUUUAUUAAAAAAAUUAUAAUAAUAAAUAAAAACAUUUAAUUACAAAUCGGCAAAUAGGUGGCCAAAAAUUCCGAUUACCGAUUGUUAUGAAAACUUCAAAUCGGCCAUAAUUAAAAUCGGCAAUUCCGAUUAAUCGGUCGACCUCUACUCUGGAGAGCCUUACGGUUGUGGGCGGAGCAGUUGCCGUACCAGGCGGUGAUACAGCCUGACAGGAUGUUCUCAUUUGUGCAUCUGUAAAAGUUUGCGAGUGUUUUCGGUGACAAGCCAAAUUUCUUCAGCCUCCUGAGGUUGAAGAGCCGCUGUUGCGCCUUCUUCACCACGCUGUCUGUGUGGGUGGACCAUUUCAGUUUAUCCGUGAUGUGUACGCCGACGAACUUAAAACUUUCCACCUUCUUCACUACUGUCCCAUCGAUGUGGAAUGGGGGGUGGGGGGGGGCUCCCUCUGCUGUUUCCUGAAGUCCACGAUCAUCUUUUGUUGACGUUGAGUGUGAGGUUAUUUUCCUGACACCACACUCCGAGGGCCCUCACCUCCUCCCUGUAGGCCGUCUCGUCGUUGUUGGUGGUAAUCAAGCCCACCACUGUAGUGUCAUCUGAAAACUUGAUGAUUGAGUUGGGAGGCGUGCAUGGCCACGCAGUCAUGGGUGAACAGGGAGUACAGGAGAGGGCUGAGAACGCUCCCUUGUGGGGCCCCAGUGUUGAGGAUCAGCGGGGUGGAGAUGUUGUUUCCUACCCUCACCACCUGGGGCGGCCUGUCAGAAAGGCCAGGACUCAGUUGCACAGGGCGGGGUCGAGACCCAGGGUCUCAAGCUUAAUGACAAGUUUGGAGGGUACUAUGGUGUUAAAUGCUGAGCUGUAAUCGAUGAACAGCAUUCUUACAUAGGUAUUCCUCUUGUCCAGAUGGGUUAGGGCAGUGUGCAGUGUGAUUGCGUCGUCUGUGGCUCUAUUGGGGCGGUAAGCAAAUUGGAGUGGGUCUAGGGUGUCCAGUAGGGUGGAGGUGAUAUGAUCCUUGACUAGUCUCUCAAAGCACUUCAUGAUGACGGAAGUGAGUGCUACGGGGCGAUAGUCAUUUAGCUCAGUUACCUUAGCUUUCUUGGGAACAGGAACAAUGGUUUCCCUCUUGAAGCAUGUGGGAACAGCAGACUGGGAUAGGGAUUGAUUGAAUAUGUCCGUAAACACGCCAGCCAGUUGGUCUGCACAUACUCUGAGGACACGGCUAGGGAUGCCUUGUGAGGGUUAACACGUUUAAAUAUUUUACUCAGGUUGGCUGCGGUGAAGGACAGCCGCAAGUUUUGUUAGUGGGCCAUGUCAGUGGCACUGUAUUGUCCUUAAAGCGAGCAAAGAAGUUGUUUAGUUUGUCUGGGAGCAAGACGUCGGUGUCUGCAACGGGGCUGGUUUUCUUUUUGUAAUCCGUGAUUGACUGUAGACCCUGCCACAUAUGUCUCGUGUCUGAGCCGUUGAAUUGCGACUCUGCUUUGUCUCUAUACUGAUGCUUAGCCUGUUUGAUUGCCUUGAGGAAGGAAUAGCUACACUGUUUGAAUUCGAUCAUGUUUCCGGUCGCCUUGCCAUGAUUAAAAGCAGUGGUUCGCACUUUCACUUUUGCGCAAAUGCUGCCAUCAAUCCACAGUUUCUGGUUGGGGAAGGUUUUAAUAGUCACCAUGGGUACAACAUCACCGAUGCACUUGCUAAUAAACUCGCUCACCGAAUCAGUGUAUACAUCAAUGUUGUUGUCUGAGGUUAUCCGGAACAUAUCCCAGUCCACGUGAUCCAAGCAAUCUUGAAGCGUGGAAUCAGAUUGGUCGGACUAGCGUUGAACAGACCUGAGCACGGGCGUUUCCUGUUUUAGUUUCUGUCUAUAGGCUGGGAGUAACAAAAUGGAGUCGUGGUCAGAUUUGCCGAAAGGAGGGCGAGAGAGGGCUUUGUAUGCAUUGUGGAAGUUAGAGUAGCAGUGAUCCAGAAUGCUGCCAGCCCGGGUCGUGCAUUCAAUAUGCUGAUAAAAUUUAGGGAGCCUUGUUUUCAGAUUAGCUUUGUUAAAAUCCCCAGCUACAAUAAAUGCAGCCUCAGGAUAUGUUGUUUCCAGUUUACAUAGAGUCCAAUGAAGUUCUUUCAGGGCCGAGGUGUCUGCUUGGGGGGGGAGUAUACACGGCUGUGAUUAUAAUCGAAGAGAAUUCUCUUGGUAGAAAAUGCGGUCGGCAUUUGAUCGUAAGGAAUUCUAGGUCAGGUGAACAAAAUGACUUGAGUUCCUGUAUGUUGUUAUGAUCACACCACAACUCGUUAAUCAUAAGGCAUACACCCCCGCCCUUCUUCUUACCAGAGAGAUGAUUGUUUCUGUCGGCGCGAUGCGUGAAGAAACCGGGUGGUUGUACCGACUCUGAUAACGUAUACCGAGUGAGCCAUGUUUCCGUGAAACAGAGAAUGUAACAAUCUCUGAUGUCUCUCUGGAAGGCAACCCUUGCUUGAAUUUUGUUUACCUUAUUGUCAAGAGACUGGACAUUGGCGAGUAGUAUACUCGGGAGCGGUGAGCGACGUGCCCGUCUAUGGAGCCUGACCAGAAGACCGCUCCGUCGUUGUUUUGGGUCGCCUACUGGGAUCCGAUCCAUUGUCCUGGGUGGUGGUCCAAGCAGAGGAUCCACUUCGGGAAAGUCGUAUUCCUGGUCGUAAUGUUGGUAAGUUGACGUUGCUCUUAUAUCCAAUAGUUGCCCCCGGCUGUAUGUAAUUAGACUUAAGAUUUCCUGGGGUAAUACUGCAUAGUUUCCUAAGAACGCGAAGCGAGGCGUCCUUCUCUGUCAGCACCAAACACAGGAGAAGAGAUCUCCUCUGAUGCCCAUAAUCCUUCAAUUCAAAGUCCCAUUAACCAGCUCUGCAAUUGUUAUAAUGUCAAAAUACAUUUGGUACUCACAAAAAUAUGUAGUUUCACAGAGCAACUACAGUCAAUACUGCCAUUACGCAGGGUAUGUACUUCCAAAAAAAGGUCUAAAUAAAAUGAUCUAUUGUUUCUGACCAGGUGCGCUUGAGCCAAAUCAACAUUCGGUAUCGCCAAUAAAAUCACUCAUUAUUAUUGCUACACACAGGUAGGCUGAUCCAGCAGCAGUACAGUAUCCCGAAAGAUCAUUGAUUUUAUUUAGCCAUUUCUUGGAAGUACACACCAUGCGUAACGGCAGUAAUGAUGAUAGUUGCUCUGUGAAACUCCAUGUUUUGGUGAUGUUUGCAAUUUUAUUUGUGCAUUUUUUGGAGCCUAAAUUAGCCAUAGCUCUUUGAGUGAGUAAGAUUGAGCGUCAUAAUGGUGAACACUUGAACAGGAUAUUUUAACAUUUUGAAAUAUUGUAAAUUUUAUAUACAACUAAUGUUGCCUAACAGGGAGGACAUUUAUGAGUGGGACAUAAAAAAAUAAAAAAAUGAUUUCACCUUUAUUUAACUAGGCAAGUCAGUUAAGAACAAAUUAUUAUUUAAAAUGACGGCCUACCCCAGCCAAACCCUAACCCGGACAAUGCUGGGCCAAUUGUGCUCCAACCUAUGGGACUCCCCAUACAGCCUGGAAUCGAACCAGGGUCUGUAGUGACACCUCUAGCACUGAGAUGCUGUGCCUUAGACCACUGCGCCACUCUGGAGCCCCUAAAAAGAGUGGAGAUGCCGGGGAUUGAACCCAGAUAAAACAUAAAACAUGGAAAAAUAGAUACAACUGAGUGUUAAUAUGUUUUCCCACCAAAGAAAUUGCGAAGCUUAUUGAAUGCCAUUGUAGGAAAGGGUUGUUUUCUUUAAAUUGAGAAUUACAACAAACUGACGUUAACAGGGUGAAAAGUGUUAUCAGGGACACACCGAAAAUCUUAAAUAAAAUAAUCAUGAAUAAAGCGUUAUUAACAAGAGAAAAUAUAAAUAGGACUAGAAAAUAAUGAAGAUUUAAAAUGUUAUUAUAAUGGCUUAUAUUUCUUGUGGAAGUUGAUGAAUAACAUCAGGGGCCAUGGAAAAAAUGCCUACAUCCACUGAAAAUGUGUUCAAAACGCAUAAAACAUCCUUUCAAGAUGCAUAUUUUUGUGUUUUUAAGGUAAAGGACUCCUAACCUUAUAUUGACCUUAUAUUUAAAGCCUUUUGGAAUCAACAUUUUACACUAAAUAAGAAGUGAUAUUUCCUGGGGAUAGAAAAGGCUCAGCAUUGUAGGAAUGACCCCAGCUAACGUUAGCAACUCACCAGUAGUGAGGUGGUUUGUUGUCAGCCACAUUGAAGUAUCCUGAGUACUGUUUGAAGUUAGGCUGCUUUUGAAGCCCAGGGAGGAACUUUAUUGUAUCUGCUUCAGGUUCCCCAAUAGUCCUCGACGCUCCCAGCAGCAGGGACAACACCAAAUGUAACACUUGGGGGUAAAAUUGCAUGCAAUGUUAAUAAUUUGUUAGUUAACGUCAUUACAGUCGGAAGUCCCAAACACAACUGUGAUUGCGACAACAGGCUAGCCAACGGUUAACAAGCUAUCUACCAGUAAAGUAGGCGGGUAUUUGAGUACACUAAAUGAUUAAUGAGCUGGACAAAACUAUUAUAAUCAACACUGGCACUUACCCUUUUCGUUCAAUUAAUCCUUAAUUAGUUAUAAAACAGCCACAGUAUUACGGACAUUUUUACUUUUGGAGCUCGUGAUGGGUUGUCACUAGUUACGACAGCCACAAAGUAAAACUAGGCUAUAUGAAAGAAAACCAAAAUGUGUUUGUUGGUCUUAAUUUAGGGUUAUGCCUAAGGUUAGCAGUGUGGUUAAGGAUAGGAUUAAAAUACGAUUUUAAGUAGAAAAAGUGUACAAAUAGGUGGGGUUUAGAUAUAAUUAUGACUUUGUGGAUGUGGUAACUAGUAACGACUUCGCGAUGAGCUGGUCCCAUGACUGCACAAUACUACUAGCGCGUAUCAAAUUGCGCAGACCGUUAAGUUCCGCACCUCAAAGUGGGAUGGUUGUUGGUUUGUUGUUUACUGUUUGUUUCUGGUGAGCCAAAUUUGUAUUUAUCGCAUCUUGGUGGAUAAUUUAGCCAUUUGAUGAUGACAAUACAAAAAGUAAACAAACAUAGGAGGUUGUUCUGCUUUGGAGAUGCUCAGCCUCAGUCGCAACGAAAACUGAGUUUUCUCCGUGAUCCAGAAAGAUCAGAACUUCUACUUUGAAGGCGCAACUUGGAACGUUAACUAGCAAUGUUGCUAAGAGGAGCUCAGAGUAUUUGAGGGUCAAGAGGGAAUGAAUCGUAAGAGCCGACUCACAUGCAGCAGUGCAUCCCACUGCGACGGCUGCCAACCUUGGCGCAAUACUUGACCUUGUCAUCAUAAUUCCAUGGUCACAUAGUUCCAUGCGGGCAAUAGACCAGGGCUCUCGAACACAUUUUCUCGUGAUGCCUACAGAUCAUGAAAAGGUGUGUUACGUUCCCCAGUUUCUGUGUUGUGGUUUUGUUUGUAUGUGUGUGUUUCAGGAAAUGGCUUCCUGGAUUCCCCCAAGCAGCUGAUUGGUCAGCCCCAAUGUUAAUUGGAGCUGACCCCGCCCUCUCAUCAGAGGAUACAGCUGUAUCCCAUUACAGACUCCUUCUCCAGCUAGAAAAAACAGUGUUCCUUUGCUGAGAGAAAGCUGAUGGUUAUGAUCUGUGUUUGUUGCGCAGACAGAGCGCUUAUUAGUAUGUCCUGUGUUGGUUGUUGCUGAGAGGGAGCUGAUGGUUAUGUCCUGUGUUGGUUGUUGCUCAGAGACAGGUUUUUGUUAAGUAUUUUGUAGCCGCUGCUUCUAAGGUAUGUGUGUCCCCAUAGGAGGCAGUGUUUUUGAUUAUUGAAAUGGUUUACUUAUGUUUGUAUUCUUUUUCAUUUGUUCCCAGGGGGGAAGGGGAAGGCACCGAGGGAAUGCUUAGGCAAGAGGCCUGUGGGCAUACAUAACCGUAGUAUUUACUGUCUGUGCACACUAGGUAAGACCUAGGUGGACCACCCCCUGUAUUUUGGUUAGCGCACCAGGUGUUGCUGAAAUAUUAGGUAAGUAGUGGGUAGGCAGGUAAGUUAAGAGAGGGGGCUCUAACUUUUACUUUCUUUGCUUUGGUUCCGUCCAGCCCCUUUU